CAGUAGCCGCGGUAAUACGUAGGGUGCAAGCGUUAAUCGGAAUUACUGGGCGUAAAGCGUGCGCAGGCGGUUUGUUAAGACAGAUGUGAAAUCCCCGGGCUCAACCUGGGAACUGCAUUUGUGACUGGCAGCUAGAGUCUGGCAGAGGGGGGUGGAAUUCCGCGUGUAGCAGUGAAAUGCGUAGAUAUGCGGAGGAACACCGAUGGCGAAGGCAGCCCCCUGGGCCAACACUGACGCUCAUGCACGAAAGCGUGGGGAGCAAACAGGAUUAGAUACCCGAGUAGUCCCUGUCUCUUAUACC
rnacentral:rRNA from 1 species